rnacentral:rRNA from 1 species
GACGAACGCUGGCGGCGUGCUUAACACAUGCAAGUCGAACGGUGAACGAGGGAGCUUGCUCCCUCCGGAUCAGUGGCGAACGGGUGAGUAACACGUGAGCAAUCUGCCCCGAACUCUGGGAUAAGCGUUGGAAACGACGUCUAAUACCGGAUACGACGCGGUAGGGCAUGCUCUCCGCGUGGAAAGAAAUUCGGUUCGGAAUGAGCUCGCGUCCUAGCAGCUUGUUGGUGAGGUAACGCCUCAACAAGGCGACGACUGAUGGCCGGCCUGAGAGGGAGGACGGGCCCAUCGGAACUGAGACACGGCACAGCCUCCAACGCGAGGAAGCUGUGGCGAUCGUUGAACACUGGGGGGACGACUGAUGAACCAACUCCGGGAGGGGGAAGACGGCCUUGGGUUUGAAAACAUCUUUUAGCAGGGAAGAACCGAAAGUGACGGUACCUGCCGAAAAAGCACCGGCUAACUACGUG